AGAUAUAGCACAGGGGGCGGUGGCACCUGCGGGGUUGUUCUGCGCAUGCGCACGGGGCGGGACCAGCACCAGCGGGUGCCUCAGGGGCCGCCAUCUUGUCAUGCUGAGGGAAUGGGGGAAGUUUAAAGCCAUUCCCAAUGAGAACCAAGGAGUUAAACAGAGAAUAUGACGUGAUCUGGGUGAUGGUGUUCAGCAGUGACCCAAAAAGACACAUGUACUCCUCUACUCUAAGACUUUCCCACCAGAGCACAUGGGAGGAAAAGACCACAAGUGCAGAAAGUACCCAAGGCAAAGAAGCUGUUGACUCAUCCAGUUUACUAAAAUCUCACGGUGCUCAGCUUGUGCUUUCUCCAGGGUUCCUUCCAUCGCCAGAGAUGGGUGAGCUUCAAAAACCCCCAUCAGAGAGCACUGUGACAUUCCUGCCGUGUUGUGGUCUCAUCCUCCAUUUUCUCCAAGAAUCCAUUUCCACCUUUAGUUUAAAUGUAUUUUUAAAGCCUUUCCCACCAAUUUGCUUUCACUGAUCAUUUGCUUACUACAUUUAAACAAACUCAUUCAUACAUGAAAUCAAAAGGCACAAAAAAUUCCUCAUGUGCUAUGAUGAGGAAAUUGCUGUCUUACUCCAUGGAAAUCAGACAGUCCAAUUUCUUUUACAACUGUAGACAAUCUCCAAUGAUUUCUAUCAGUGAGAUGAACUUAGUAAUUGCUACAAUUUUCAGCAGGGAGAAACAAAAGAAAUAAAACUGAAUAAUAAAAAAAUGAUAGAUCGGCAACUGUGUGCAGUCUGAAGAGCCACUCGUUAGCUGGCACUGAAAGAAAAAACAGGUGCAGUUGUCUCGCUCUGCAUUAUUUACCUCUGGAAAACUCAAUGACUGUUGAAGUACCUGCAAAACAAAGCAGUGCAGUAAAUAAGCAGAACUGAUUGAACCUCAAAACAGCAGGUUUCAGCCUGUUCUUCUGCCUGCAUGAAGUCUUGAGCAUAUUUUUUCCAGCUGGCCCUACCUUCUGCAUUGAACUGGUAAUAGAAGAAGAAGGCCUGUUGUGUAAGAAAAAAGCUAUUUCCCCUCAGUGUCAGCUCUCCUGCCAUGUGCAGAGGUCUCUGCAUCUCCACCCAGCCCAGGAG